rnacentral:lncRNA from 1 species
UCCCAACCAAGCAAUCAAAACCAACCAAUACAUGUUCUAAACAUAAUAUAACAUUACAUAUACAUCAAUUACUUAUACUUACCCAUUUAACUCAUUUCAUUGAUUUAUCAGAUUCUACUACGAAUUACGCACAUACAAACAUUUAAGAUUCACAACCACAAGUCAAAUUAUUUCAUUGCCAAACCAACUCUAUACAUGUCAUAUAAACCAAAAUUUAUAUUUCAAAAACUACCGUAUUAAACUGGAUAGUGUGGCUUGAUAUGUUGAUUCGAUCUUCCGAUCACACGUUAAUCUACAAGAACAUAAACAACACGAGUAAGCUUAAUGAAGCUUAGUAAGUUCAAUAGAUUAAACAUUGAUCUUACUGAACUCAAUAUAAUCAACUAAAUUGUAAAUAAAUCAUACAUUCUCCCUGUCAAAUACAACAUAAGUCAAUGAACACACUUCCUUUAGAUCAAUAUAAUUAAUAAUCAAUAUAUCUUUCAAUUCAUUCACAUAGGUCUUUUACCAAUUCUUACAGAAUCGAGGAACGACUUAUGGAUAUGAGUACUCGUUUUCUUUGUGCCAUAGUCCAACUAUGGUCUUACACAUGCAUUGCCAUGGCCCAGCCAUGAUCUUACAUUCGUAGUGCCAUAACCCAGUUAUGGUCUUAUCAUCAGAAUGCCAUAGCCCAGCUAUGGUCUUACUUAUAAAUACUGCCAUGGUCCAACCAUGGUCUUACGUUCAAAGUGUCAUAACCCAGUUAUGGUAUUUUCAUUAAAAUGCCAUAGCCCAACUAUGGUAUUACAUAUAAACAUUGCCAUGGUCCAACCAUGGUCUUAUCCGUCAAUUCAUCCUUUGCUAUAAAACGAUUGUACACUAUCCUGCGUUUUACUUGUUUUAAGCAUUCAUUUCAAUUUCAUAAUUUGACAAUAAAUUUUAGUUUCAAUAAUAAGAAUAAGAAUAAAUACAUUAUAUCAUUCAUAAAUUAAUAAAUAAUCAUGAAAUUUUAACCAGACGAACUUACCUGGGUUAAAUUGUGGAAUUUGUAAUGGUUCAGAGAUUUUUCGGCUAUUUUUCCUUUUUCGUGUUGGUCUAAGGGCUCUUGAUAUGUAGCAAAAUAUGAAAACCAGCUUCUUAAGGGUUCUUCAAUGGUGUUUUUUGAUGAGAAUUAUGAAGAAAUUUUCUAGAAUUCUCUUAUUAUUUCAAUUUGUAAGCUAAAUUUUUUAUUUUUCUAAUUUUGCCCUUAUUUCACUUGAUUUUUUGAUUUUUCUCUGCCUCCGCCCAAGCCAUCAUCUUUGGGCUAAUUUGCCUUUUAUGUCCUCCCUCAUUUAACACUUGAGCUAUUUAAUCAUUUUAGCAAGUUUUGCACAUAUUUCAAUUUAGUCUUUUUUAAUUAAUUAACUAUCAAAAUGUUAAAAUUUUCUAACAAAAUAUUAAUACUAACUUAAUGACACCCUGUAAAUAUUUAUAAAAAUAUUUACGGCUCGAUUUAUAAAAUUGAGGUCUCGAUACCUCAUUUUUUAAACCAUUCUACCUAAUAAAUCCUUCUAAAACACAAAUCACCAAUUCAAAAAUCUUUCUAAAAUCACACUUGACUCGUAAAUAAUAAAUAACAAAAUUUUCAAACUCACUCGUCGGAUUUAGUGGUCUCGAACCACUAUUUCUGACACCACUGAAAAUUGGGCUGUUACAUCUACCACCUAUUUUGCCUGCAUUAUUUUCCUGAAACUAAACAACAUUGGCCUAUAAAGGAAUGCUCGCCACAAACUCCAAUUGUCAUGUCUCACAAUCUAACAACAUCUCAAUAAGCACAUCCAGAGAAACAUUCAUAUCUGAAGCCACCAUGCGAACUUACUCAUACUCCACUGGUAAUCUUGCCAAAAUAAAGUUGACUUAUCCGAGAUCAGGUACCAAUCUACCAACUGCAGUGAGAACAUCACAUAUGUUCCUUAUCUUAGUCAAAUAUUCUUUAAUGGACAACUGUCCCUUUUUUCUGAGAAUAAAGACUAUGUCUCAGACUAGAAAUCUUCAUGCUUGACUUAGCAACAAACCGUCUUUCAAUUGCGAGCCAGACACCUAGACUCGUGCGAGCAUUAGUAAGAUAAACAAGGAUCUCAUCACACACAGUAGACAAAAGCCGAGAUGCCAAGAGUUUGUCUUGUUGAUUAUGCUUCAAGAACGCAGUAUUUUCCACCAAUGGACCAUUGUUGUCAUCAAGAAACUAAGAUGGAACACUGAUAGUGCCUAAAACAAAAUCUUGCAAAUUACAGCCUUUAAGAAUAAAAAUAAUUUGAUGUUUUUACAAAAGAAAUUUUGUUUCAUUGAGCUUAAUAGUAUUAUGCUUAGGAAAUUGAGGAACACGUUUACUCACUAUGCAAGAAUUGCACCCAGGAUCCAAAUGACAAGAAGAUACCUGUGUAGCACCAUUACCAUCAUUAGCAGAUUGUUAUUGAUUAUCGCCAUCUCCUGAGAUUAUUUUUAGAGCCAUGACUCACCAACGAAACUUCAACGACUUUCCGCACACUACCCUCAACAAGAAACCGUAGCUCUUGAUACCAAGUUGAAACAUUAAUAGAUAGAGAAAGAACACAUGAACCUCAAAGAAUCAAAGAAGAGAGAAUAUCAAAGAGAAGAAAGAAAGAAAGAUUUCUUCACUAAGUUCAACAUGAAUACAAAGAACCUACAACCAUAGUAUUUAUACUAAGUUUUGAACAAAGAAGAUGAAUAACAACCUGAACCAACUAACUCAAUAACUUAUUAACAACCUAAUUGUUGCAGCAGUUCCUUAACAUUCAUCGAGCCUCCUGGCUGUUGCUAUUGAAGCUUGCGAACAGCUCAACUGUGAACACCUAGACUGCUGCAAAUCAAUCCUUAACACAUUAAAAUAUUUAAAAGUUUCACUUAACCAUAAAUUAAAAUUAAGUAAUAAAAUUCAAUAAAAUUUAAUGUUUAGGAAAACCGAAUCCUAUAAAACUAAAAUGAAAAAGUUACUUUAUACCAAAAAAAUAUGGAAAUGUUUUGUUUAUUGAAUAAAAAAAUAACAAAUAUUAAACAAAAUAAAAUAUAAUUAUGAAUUUGGGUAUCCGAUAGUAAAUUAUUCACCUUAUCAUCCUUUAAAAUUUAAAAAAUAAACAAAAUAAAACAAAAGAGACUGUCUAUUAUUUAUUCAUUUCUUUCUUCUCUUUUGAUUCAUUAGCUGAGUUAAUAUUCAGAUAUUUGGUUUUAGGUCUUAAACUCGAUGACUUUGACUCGAUGUCGAGUUUAAAAUUCUUUUAACCAACUUCUAAAAAUAGACAAAAAAAAAACAAUAAAUUAAAUUCCAAAAUAAAAAAUAAACAAUUUUUUUAAUCGCAUAUUUAACUUUAAAACACUAGCGUUUUCCGGUAUUUUUGCGGAAAAAGAAUAUUUUUAAGUUAAAAGUGGUUUUUUCACCUGCAUAUAAAAUUCUUGACCCCGAAAUUUAAAAAAUAAAAAAAAGUGCUGCUGUUUUAACUCAGCCAAUGAAUCUAAAGAGAAGAAAGUAAAGAUGUAUGUUUCAAUUUUCAAAGGAAGUUGGCAAAGGCUUUCUUAGUAGAAAUGGAUAUUUAUACCACACAGAUUGUAC